CAAAUGUAAAGUUCAUCUGUCAGCACCACAGCAAGCAACCACACCUUCUUCUGGCCUGGAUUCACACCAUUCUGCAGCCUCAGUCCAAGAUCAGAACAGAGUUUCAGCACAGCUGGAUUCCACUCUUCCACACUUAUGCACACCUCUCAAUUUUUGCACAGCACCUGAUUGUACUGUAUGCCCAGCAGUGCACACACAUCAGGAGCAGGCAUUGGAGUUUGUCACUUCUAACUCCUGUACUCUAGACUGCUGCAUGCUGAGGGGAGCUAGCAGGUUUCUUGAUUUAUUUGGGAUGAGUUUGAGAGAGAAAAGCUUUAUCCUUCUAACUGGUAUCAGCAGUAAAGGCCAAGGGUUGUUUUCAACAUAACAGGUAAGAGCCACUUAAGCCACUGACGAGCCAAAGGUCAACUCACAACUGACAGCACAGCAAAGUAUGGAGGUGGUUCUGUUCCUGCACAACCAUCAUUGCAAGUGCUGUAGCUGGAGGGGUGGCACAGCUUUUAGAGCUGUUCUAAAUAUUCCAUCUGAUGACAAUCACUCCAGCAGUCUUAGUUUGAGCUUCAGAUUUCAUCAAGGGGAGAACCUUCUUUGAACUGAUCAAGCUAAAAACGUUCACAGUCUUCUCAGCAAGCUCAGCCACAUUGUCUCUCACAUCACAAAAAGUUCUGCCCUGGCUUAUGCUGCCCUCAGCAGUCAGAGUUCUGAUUUGGCAGAAAACAAGAUGUGCUGUGUUAACUAACAGCAUUGUUUAAAAUAGUACUGAUGACCAUCUUUGACUCCCCUGUUUCCUCCCCUUCCUAUACUGCUAUCAGAGGAGAAUUUUGGAUCUGGAAGCACUCUUCAUUUCACAGAGGUCCUGCUUUGAUAUCCUAUGAUAAGAGCAGCAAUGUGAGACUGCUUUGUGGUAGCAGCUGUCAGCAGCCUGUGGAAUGUGCCUAGAGACUGAAUACAGUAGGAUAAAUACUUCUACCCCUGCUUAUUAGCCAGCCACAUAACCUGAGUGCUUCUUUGAGACAUCCAUCAAAACAUGAGCUUGCCCAAAUCCCCCUGGCUUCAGUUUCCUGGGCACCACAACUGAAGCAGUCUUCCCAGACAUUGCUCUGCUUGCAUCAUGGAAGCAACACGAUGAAGGAGUUUAUCAGGAUCUCUGAAGACUCUUUCCCAAGGCUUCACAGUCACAGAUACACCUAUGCAGUGCCAUUGGAACAUCUAGAAACAAAGUCUUUGAACUCUAGAAAAUUUUAACUUCUGGAAAGAAGAUUCAGAACAGCACUCUCCUGCUAACUCUGGAACACUGCCCAAGCCCUGUAAGAGCAUAUAGAGAACCCAAAGGAGACAAAAAGAGAUAUUAGAGGGUACAAAUCAACAGAGAAAACUUAAAAGGAACAGAAUCUACACUGUCUUCAGUAAAGGUACGGCUAAGAAGCCAGCCGAAAUGCGAGAAGGUAGAACUGUGAUGAAACACCUCACCAUGCUCUCCCUUAGCACAUCUAUUACCCCACCAGCAGUUGGCAGCUGCACAGUUCACCCUCCCUAGGGCAGCCCAGUUUCUCAAGAGGACCCAGAAGCACCUCCCUUUGACCCCCAAAGACAGUAGGAUGUUAACCCUGCCACUGUACCCACGGCCACUUACUGGAAAGCCAUGGCUCCUGCCUCCAGAGUGCACCUCGUAGGGGACUGCUCGUUCAGCUUGCGGAACAGCUGCUUCGCCUGGCUCUGGUACUGCUGGAGGUCGCGGCCGGACUGUGGGGAGAGGACAGGCUGUCGGCUGCUACCGUUACCCUGCAAACACCCCCCACCCGCGUCCCAACGGCUCGAGAAAGGGCUGGUCGCGGGGGACGGCGGGGCCUAGUCACAGCCUGAAGGAAAGCAGCGAGACUGGUUGGACCGGGCCUAGCUGAACCGGACCGGACCGGGCUGGGCCUGUCCACGCCAAGAUCCCCCGCCCCACCUGCUCAUCCUCCUGCAUGGAGGCAGCGAGCGGCAGUCCGUCCGCCACGCGGGCGAUCAUGGUAAGCAGCACCAUCUUCGCCUCCGCUCACUGCCCCACCGC